rnacentral:rRNA from 1 species
CUGAUGCAGCCAUGCCGCGUGUAUGAAGAAGGCCUUCGGGUUGUAAAGUACUUUCAGCAGUGAGGAAGGUGGAUGUGUUAAUAGCGCAUUCAUUUGACGUUAGCUGCAGAAGAAGCACCGGCUAACUCCGUGCCAGCAGCUGCGGUAAUCCGGAGGGUCCGAGCGUUAUUCGGAAUUUCUGGGCGUAAAGCGCAUGCAGGCGGUUUGUUAAGUCAGAUGUGAAAGCCCGGGGCUCAACCUGGGAAUUGCAUUUGUAACUGGCAGACUAGAGUACUGUAGAGUGGGGUAGAAUUUCAGGUGUAGCGGUGAAAUGCGUAGAGAUAUGAAGGAAUACCGGUGGCGAAGGCGGCCCCCUGGACAGAUACUGACACUCAGAUGCGAAAGCGUGGGGAGCAAACAGGAUUAGAUACCCUGGUAGUCCACGCCGUAAACGAUGUCUACUUGGAGGUUGUGGCCUUGAGCCGUGGCUUUCGGAGCUAACGCGUUAAGUAGACCGCCUGG